rnacentral:hammerhead_ribozyme from 1 species
AUUCAGCUGAAAAGUCCCAAAUAAGAUUAAACGUGCGUCCUGGAU